rnacentral:rRNA from 1 species
AACGAACGCUGGCGGCAUGCCUAACACAUGCAAGUCGAACGAGACCUUCGGGUCUAGUGGCGCACGGGUGCGUAACGCGUGGGAAUCUGCCCUUGGGUUCGGAAUAACAGUGAGAAAUUACUGCUAAUACCUGAUGAUGUCUUCGGACCAAAGAUUUAUCGCCCAGGGAUGAGCCCGCGUAGGAUUAGCUAGUUGGUGGGGUAAUGGCCUACCAAGGCGACGAUCCUUAGCUGGUCUGAGAGGAUGAUCAGCCACACUGGGACUGAGACACGGCCCAGACUCCUACGGGAGGCAGCAGUGGGGAAUAUUGGACAAUGGGCGCAAGCCUGAUCCAGCAAUGCCGCGUGAGUGAUGAAGGCCUUAGGGUUGUAAAGCUCUUUUACCCGGGAUGAUAAUGACAGUACCGGGAGAAUAAGCUCCGGCUAACUCCGUG